UACGUAGGGUGCAAGCGUUAUCCGGAUUCACUGGGUUUAAAGGGUGCGUAGGCGGGUUGGUAAGUCCGUGGUGAAAUCUCCGAGCUUAACUCGGAAACUGCCGUGGAUACUAUCAAUCUUGAAUACUGUGGAGGUAAGCGGAAUAUGUCAUGUAGCGGUGAAAUGCUUAGAUAUGACAUAGAACACCGAUAGCGGAGGCAGCUUGCUACACAGUCAUUGACACUGAGGCACGAAAGCGUGGGGAGCAAACAGG
rnacentral:rRNA from 1 species